rnacentral:rRNA from 1 species
UACGUAGGGUCCGAGCGUUGUCCGGAAUUAUUGGGCGUAAAGGGCUCGUAGGCGGUUUGUCGCGUCGGGAGUGAAAACCCAGGGCUUAACUCUGGGCUUGCUUUCGAUACGGGCAGACUAGAGGUAUGCAGGGGAGAACGGAAUUCCUGGUGUAGCGGUGAAAUGCGCAGAUAUCGAGAGGAACACCGGUGGCGAAGGCGGCCAACUGGACGAGUACUGACGCUGAGACACGAAAGCGUGGGGAGCAAACAGG